UAUUACUUUGUGUCUGUUAGUCAACCUGAUCUGGUCCAUGUUCGUGGGGAGGGCAUCAUGGGCAUGUCCACACCAGUGUCCACUCCAUGUCCACCCCAUGGCCACUCCCCCCGCACUCGCCCAUGCUCGUCGCACAGACCAAAGCAGGCACUCCCGCACCCACUCCCUCAUAUCGGGUGCACCAUCCAGCACACCCCCCACUAAUGAUCCUUCCGCAGGUUCACCUACGGAAA
rnacentral:misc_RNA from 1 species